rnacentral:hammerhead_ribozyme from 1 species
AUCUAGAUGAGGAGUCGCAAAUAGGACGAAAUGCGCAUUCUGAAU